GGUAAAUCUGCUAUGGCCUACCCGCACACCAAGUUCUACUUUGACUAGCCCUGGGACCAACAGCAGGCUAAAGCUGAAAUUGAUGGCAAAACCCUGCCUGAGAAAGAUGGCUUUUGCAGCAUGGGGAAAUGACAGAAUAGUGACACUGGCAGCAGUCAGUCCAGCUCUCUUCUCAGAUCUACCAAUGCCAGACUUCUUAUUCAGCUCUAAUCCACUCUGCCCUCCUUCUGCCAGAGCCCAAGAAUUGUGCUGCAGAUAAAGAAAUACAAGCGACAUGUAUCAAUGAGCUCCUAGUGCUUCCAAAGAUGUAGACCC